UACGUAGGGUGCAAGCGUUGUCCGGAUUUAUUGGGCGUAAAGAGCUCGUAGGCGGUUUGAUAAGUCGGGUGUGAAAUCUCCAGGCUCAACCUGGAGCUGCCACUCGAUACUGUCAUGACUUGAAUUCGGUAGGGGACCACGGAAUUCCUGGUGUAGCGGUGAAAUGCGUAGAGAUCGGGAGGAACAUCUGUGGCGAAGGCGACUGCCUGGACCAGCACUGACACUGAGGCACGAAAGCGUGGGGAGCAAACAGG
rnacentral:rRNA from 1 species